rnacentral:lncRNA from 1 species
UGUGAAGAUCCUAACAUCAGCCUGAUUUAUGACUCAUCAUGAUUCAGUGAAGUUAUUUGCAGACAGAACAGACUCACUGGGGAGUAAGAGUCUGAUAAGUGGUGACUUUUCUGUAAAACAACUAGAGCAGCUGCAGAUGCUAUUAUCCCGGGUAGAAGGGAGCAGAUGGGAAGGAUGAAAGGGCUCUACUUGACACUGGGCCUCUUGGCACUCACAACCUGCUUCUCAACAAGUACAACACAAGAGAGACAAAAUAGGCUGAAAAAUAGACUACAAAUGAAUCCAUCUGCACAAGCAUCAUCUUCACCUCAGCAAAUACUUUUCUUAAGGAAAAGUGGUAGGAUUCCCACUCAGCUAAAUCCAUCUGCGCAACAAAGACUUGGAGGCUCUCGAGCCUAUUUAAAUCCCGCUGGUCCAAAGAGAUCUCCAAAGAUAAAAUCUAGUCAAAGCUCUGCUGUACAGCAAAUUAGCCGAAAACCCUCAAAUUACCUGAAUUUUCCAGUUAAAACAAGAUCUAGAACUAUCAAAUUUGAUGUAAAUAAACGUGCCCAAAAGUUAAUUAAAAGUAAUAAACUUCUCAUGGAUACCUACACUCAUUUAAAAUUAGAUAAAUCCAAAAUUCCUUCAUAUCAAAAAAACAUGAAGCCCAAAACUAAGCUAAACUUAUUAAGUAAACCAAGAAUACCUAGCCAACCAAAAUCUCAGUCAAAAAUAUCUGAACAAAAUCAAAAUAAACGCAAAAAAGAACAGCGUGUUAUAAAGAGAAAUCACCUAAGUGGGACUAAAAACCAUCAAAUUAGCCAACCAAAAGCUAGUCAAAAAUCUGCCCAUCAAAAAAGCCACCAACUCCAAAAUAACAUAAAUAUAACAGCUCACAAAAGAUCUAGCAAUACCAAAUCUCAUAUACUCAAAACUAAAAUAUUACCAAGGAAAUCUAAAUCUCUUUCCAGGGUAAAUAAUCAACAGAACUCAGAUUUGACUAAGUUAUCCGCAACUUCAACUGGUAAAAAAUAUAGUCAACGUCAAACAAGGCAACAAAGAUUAGGUCCACGGAAAACAUCUGGUAAAUCAAAACUUCUAAAAUACAACAGAAGUAAGAAGGUAAAGCAGAAAACUGGUCCAAAUAAACCUGAUCCUAACUGGACCCAGACAUGAUCAACCUGGUCAACCCAAGCCUGGUCAAAAAAAUUACAAACAAAAUGUCAACCAUCUCCCAAAUCAAAUGAAUUCAACAGCUCCCCUCAAAAUUAACAAACCCAAAUCUCAGCAAGGAAAAAUGGUUAAAAAAUCUCCAAGAAAACCUAAGCCUCACUUUAUAACCAAAGUUGAGCAAAAUCCAAAAAAAUCUAAUUCACCUGUAGUUUUAGUUGGUAAACGAAAUGGCCAGCACCAACCUAAACCACAAGCAAUAGGUUCACAUAAAAUAUAUACACUAUCAAAGCUUCAUAAUAAUGCAAUCAAGAAACAACGAAUUAGUCCAACAAAGACUUCUGAACAAAAGAAAAUUAACCAAAGGAAGUAUCAUCUAAAUUCUACUAAAGAAUCUGGAAACUCGAAACCUGUUGCAAACAGAUCAAAAAGAACCAAAAAAGUGAAAAAACAAUCUGGCCAACAGAGACCAGUGUGUAGACAUUGUCCAUCAGGCCAAUCAAGACCUCUUCAAAUAUUUCCUAUGCAACAAAAUAGCUACCAACUUUCAAAUCACAGGAACUCAUCAGCUCUUAAAAAACCUAGAAUUAUCAAAUAUCAGCCAGGCAAAACUACUAAAAAGUUAUCAAGGAAACCUAAACCUUCCUGUGGGACAAAAUUUCAACAAAAGCCAAAAGUACC